rnacentral:rRNA from 1 species
UCAGGUGGUUAUAACGUUGGGGAUCCACCUCUUCCCAUUCCGAACAGAGAAGUUAAGCCCAACGGUGCCGAUGGUACU